UUACGGGCGGUGAGUAACGCGUGGGUAACCUGCCCUGUACACACGGAUAACAUACCGAAGGUAUGCUAAUACGAGAUAACAUACUUUUAUCGCAUGGUAGAAGUAUCAAAGCUCCGGCGUACAGGAUGGACCCGCGUCUGAUUAGCUAGUUGGUAAGGUAACGGCUUACCAAGGCGACGUCAGUAGCCGACCUGAGAGGGUGAUCGGCCACAUUGGAACUGAGACACGGUCCAAACUCCACGGGAGGCAGCAGUGGGGAAUAUUGCACAAUGGGCGAAAGCCUGAUGCAGCAACGCCGCUGAGCGAUGAAGGCCUUCGGGUCGUAAAGCUCUGUCCUCAAGGAAGAUAAUGACGGUACUGAGGAGGAAGCCCCGGCUAACUACGUGCCAGCAGCCGCGGUAAUACGUAGGGGGCUAGCGUAUCCGGAAUUACUGGGCGUAAAGGGUGCGUAGGUGGUUUCUUAAGUCAGAGGUGAAAGGUACGGCUCAACCGUAGUAAGCCUUUGAAACUGGGAAACUUGAGUGCAGGAGAGGAGAGUGAAUUCCUAGUGUAGCGGUGAAAUGCGUAGAUAUUAGGAGGAACACCAGUUGCGAAGGCGGUCUCUGGACUGUAACUGACACUGAGGCACGAAAGCGUGGGGAGCAAACAGGAUUAGAUACCUGGUAGUCCACGCCGUAAACGAUGAGUACUAGCUGUCGGAGGUUACCCCCUUCGGUGGCCAGCUAACGCAUUAAGUACUCCGCCUGGGAAGUACGCUCGCAAGAGUGAAACUCAAAGGAUUGACGGGGACCCGCACAAGUAGCGGAGCAUGUGGUUUAAUUCGAAGCAACGC
rnacentral:rRNA from 1 species